CGCGGCGGCAGGAAGAGGCGGAAGUCGGCGAGCUUGGCGAACCAGCGCAGCCGCGCCUCGUCGCCGCGCAGCAGCUCGGUAUUUGAAGAGCCUUCUGGGAGCCAGGUGGGAAACAGCCCUUUCUCCUCUUAAACCUGUUGCUGUGAUUUCGAAAGCAAGCGAAGGCACGGAGGGUGUCCCAGCCCUUCUCUUCAGAGCAUCAGGGAGGAAAAGCAAUUUUUCAAACACUUUGAACACCAGCACAGCCUCCACACGUAGCACGUGAGGAUAAAAGGGGAUGUUCGCCUCUUGCAUGAUGUAAAAGCAGGCUUUAAUCCUGCAGCACCAGGGCCACGUUCGGAGGCUGCCUUAUUUGCUACAUGAGGGUCCCCUGCCGUAAAGCAGAUUUUUAACUAGCUGGGACAAACUGGGGACCCCCCCACAGUGGAUCUGGCCAUGAAUUUUAAGGACUGAGCUGCCUUGAAGCGGUCCCACAAGCCGGAUCUGACCCAAGAGUCACCAGUGAAACCAUCCUGUUGCAAACUCCAUUUGCUACUGGAAAUACUUAGCUGCACAGGGGAACAUGCAUGGACCAGGUCUCCGUGGUGCACCGUGUGGGUCUCAUACACACCAGCACCCACGUUCGUACACACCGGGGAGCUACAGCCAAGCUCAGAGGUCACAUUGGACGAAAUCAAUAAACGCCGUUAUUCUAGAAACUGCCCGUCUAGCAGAAACUGCCCCGGGAAGCAGAAGAGGGCAAUUCUCCAGCACGUUCAGCGGUGACCUAACCCUGGUGGGUGUCCACCUCGCAGCGUGGCAGAGCGAAGGCGCCCGCAAAACAGCCUCUAGCUCCCCGGGUGCACAUCACCGCACGUCAGGAGACACGUAUAGCUGUUCUCAGAUACCGGGGGCUUUCCGGUGACGUUUCCCUGGGACGACUACCCCCUUCUGAAAAGCCAAAGAGAAUCCCUCACUUGGUCAGAAACUUGAAUUCCCAUCAAAACUAUUUCAAAGGGAAAAUCGGGACAGCCCAAAAGUUACCAGCCUGAUUCAGUUCCUUGCAAACUCGGUGGGAAUAUCACCAUGUAUUUUGGCGUGAAUUCAUGUAGGCGAGCCCAAGUUUUGGCCGCAACGGUGAAUUCAGGGGCCUCUGCACCGCUUUCCCGAGGGCAGCAGCUCCCGCAGGAGAGCAUCGGGCCCCACCGGGCUUCUUCCCUUCUUCUUGGCUCUGGCCAGGACUGGAUCAACGCGAAAAGACGGUCUCCGCUAAUAUUCCUGCUCUCUGGCACGGGUAGAGCCUAUCUCCAGGUUUCCCCGGCAGGACAGAGCGGAGCUGCCGGGGGGUCAGGGAAGAGCUACCUGCGGAGCUGCCGCGCGGAAAGCAUCCCCGGAGCAUCACUCUGGCAGGCUAAUGGGUGACAGCAGUUGUGUGGGAAGACUAAUGGAGAAAAGGUUUGAUAAAAUAGAAGCACCAUCCCUAAGUUUUUCUUUUUCCUGAUGCUUUUUUGCAGUUAUGUAAUUUUAAAAUGACAUUGAUUUAAAAAAAAAAAAAGGAGGAAGAAGAAUGGGAAACUUUGAACACUUAAGGCCGGAUGCUGCUCGCGCUGUCAGCAGUGAAACUUCCCCCAAACUUCGGAGGAGUCUCUGCACUUUUUCCGGGGGGGGAAAUGGGGAACAGGAUUUGGCCCAGCACCCUUAAGAGGCUUUAACUGCCACUGGCAGAUCAGAGGGAGAGGGAAGCAUCACCGAGGGGGCUGCGCCGGCACGCUCUGCAAAGUGCCGGCAGUUUGCAUCCGGCAGAUCCCGCCGGUGUGUCGUUACUGUGCCGACGGCGGCUUUCGGGGGCUCCCGGGUGCUGCGACCAAAACAAAGGGAGCCCUUCGACGGGAGAAGCCAAAAAGGAAGGAAAGCACAGGAGAAAGCUCCUCGCCUCCUCCGAGAGGGGGUACGGACUGGCUCUGCCUUCACACCCCAAGAAGCUGCCAGAAUUAUUUCCCUCGACGAAACGUUCUCCACCCUUUUUUGAGCGUUUCGAGAUGCCAUGCCGAUGCUUUUCCCCCAUUAAGACCUUUUGUCUCCGGGAUGCUUUUCAUGGGGAACGACCCAACCCGAGGUAUAAAGCCUCUGCGGAAAAUUAAGACAGGUUUAUUGGCAACGUACCGAGCGCUUCCGAAAGCAAAGCGCAGAGCUCGUCUGCUCGUGGCUUUUCAAGCCGUCCCCUCCGCUCCUGGCCUGCCCGGUCCCUUCCUCCUUCCCGUCUCCACGAAAUCUCUCCCACGUCGCGGGAGCUGUUUUAAUUUUGCCGUUAAUCUCGUAAACAAAGCGCUAGCGGGAAGCGGCUUCUCUUGCACCAGCGAGCGCGGCUCUAAAACCUGGGGAUCGAACGUGUCCCCGUCUCCUUCCCACCCUGGCCAACAUCGGUUUCUUGGUGCAACGGAAGGUGAUGGCAGUCGAGGGGGGGUUCAAGCAAGGGCUGCAAAUCUGCCCAGUUGCACAUAGCUCUCCAAAAAGGCCUCUCAGUCCUUCCGCAGAAUAGGAAAAAAAGCAGAACUUAAUUUUCCUUACUGCUACUCCUGAACAUUAGGAGCCGAAUACUCCCCCAUUCCUCACUUAGCCACUGGAGAUAUGACAUAUUAGCUUUAUCACAUCUCUAAGAUGGCUGCAAAGGGACUGAGAUGAAACAUUUUCAUGGGGACACUAAAAAAUCCUGAAUGUGAUCCUGACGAUGGGCGAUUUUCGCGACAAUAGGAUUUUUUUUUCCCCCAUGUGCAUCAGCAUCACAGUAUGUAAUAAGUCCCUAGCGAAUUGUUCCCAGAAUAAUUGCACAAGACAAAUAAUCAGUAUUUCCAAUUUGGGUUUUUUUUUUUUUCCGCUCUUCUGGAUGAAGUAAUGCGGUGCUUCUCUGUGAUAAUGAGAAACACCUGAUGCUGGCUUUAGAAAAAGAAGGAAGCACGCAAAAUAUUGAUCUCGAAGCCAAAUUACUGGGAAAAUUGGCAUCCUGCGCCUGGAAGAAUGAGCCCGGGCUCCCCGGCACUCACGAACCUGCCUGCGGCCGGGCUCCCAGGUGCCUCUCCAGCCCCUCCAGCAGCACGGAGGUGCUCGGCAGACGCGUCCCCUCUGGCACCCGCAGCGCUCUCCGGAGGGCAAACCCGGAAAAAUCCACUAAAACUAGCAGGUAAGGUCUAAACAAGCAGAAAAACACACUGCUCUGCACCACACAGUGAAGACUCGGCUGAGGGCUAUUAAAGCAGAGAAGCCACCUUAGAUAGGUCGUGCUUAGGUAGUCCCUGACCACAGACUGAUGGAGGUGAGCAGAGCAUUUGGGGGAAACAUCGUUACAUGCUCUCCUCAUUCUUAUCCUCUUCUUUAGGCAUGUUAUUGUCCGAGACAGGAUAUUGGAGAGGACGGACUCACGGUCUGAUUUAAUACAGCUACCCUCGUACUCUCGCGUUACGCGCCUGACAAUCUCUCCGGGCUGUGGACUGCGCGCGGGGACCCGCUCGGCGCUAGUGGAGAAUCUCACUCUGUGGCUAUCCUAAUACCCAGCCACAGCUACCAGGUCUCGUCUCAAUGACUCAAAUAAUCAACAAUAAUUAAUGCAAUGAGGUGACAUAAGAGCCUGGAAGCAGCAGGAAUCCUCCACGGCCGGCACGUACGGGACCAGAGGCGUUAUAUAGAUUAUAAGCGUUAUAUAGAUUGGUAAGCUCAGCUGCCAUUAUAUAAAGACAUAAUAAUGAAUUUCUUGAAAACGUUAAGAAUCGGCUGCCUGUUGGCUGCUUAUAACCCCGCCAGCAUCCAGAGCAACCGCCCAGUGCAGCCCAGUGCAGCUUCCCGGUGUACUGGGUUUGCCGGCAGCCGGAGGAGUGGUGCACAAGGGUGCACGAGGCAGAGCUCAGGGCUGUUGCAGCACCGAAAGCACCAGGGUGAGCGUCCAGAAAUCGCUCUUCCGAGCAAAGCCCAUGUUCACCCCGACUUCCCAGCGUGACGGGUGCCGGGAGCAGCCAGCGUCUCGCCCAGGCUGGUGGCAGCCAGGGAGCCCGUCCCCCGAAUUGUCGCGGGUUUGCAUCCGCUCAGGCUUGAGGAUGCAGCAGCACGUAAAUGAUGCUGCUAAUGUUAAGCCAGCCUGAUAGGGCUGGAUCUCCUCACACAAGUCCCUUUAUAUUUCUCUGCUAGUAUAAAAGAGGUCGUAAAGGUAAUACACGCCUAGAGCAAUGGGACAUGGCUUCAGCGUGACCUAGGAGCUUCCCAUCUCCCGCAGGUUUGGACCAACUUUCUCAGUUCUGCUGCUGCAACCCUGACGCACCCCCACGAGCUUCGGCGGUGAAAAGUCAGACGAGCACAUGGCCCGGAGCUACUAUCAUGAGUAACAGCUUCAUGCCUCUUAAAAGGGACUGAAUCAGCUACCAGAAUAACUCUGGGCUUCUAUAUCCAGGCAGCGGUUUAUCUGCCCCAGAUUCAUCAAAGCUUCGUGAGCGUGAGGGUUUGUGUACACACGCUGUGCUUGCUUUUAUAAUUAUCGUCUCUUGGUUGUCUUACAAACGGUAGUCGCCUUAAGGGUGAUAGUCUGAGCAAAUUUCACUGUUUGUUAAGAAAACAGCACGGGCCUGAUUACGAGCUGAGAUAUACCUAUCGUUAAGGCAGAGAUCUGCUGAAUUCAGGAGCAUUAUACCCAUGCUGAAAUGGGUGAGAGCGUGCUCAGAAGACAACUGCGGCAGCCGAGAUUUAUUUUUAAUCAUUUUUGAGGGAUGAAUGUGAAGACGGCAACUUUCAAACAGGAGAUGUAGUUUCCCAAGCGCCACUUCCCACCGUGCUGGAUGGUGGGAGAGGAGAAACGCAGCCGAGGUGGGAGCAGGCACCUCCAGCUGCUGGGACGCGGGGUGAGCAGAGCGGGGCCGAGGCGCUGGUCCCCACCCACCCCAUCCCCUGGAUGCACAUCCAGUGGUGAAACUCCCUUUUGCUUCACUGGUAUCAGGGUUCACCCUAUUAAAAGGCAGAUAGUAACCAACAGCUCAGCACAGUGCGAGGCACCCCAGGACCAUGUGGUGUCCCUCAGCAAUUCGGUGGCAUUUUGGAGCCCAGGGUUGUGAGGUGUGACCACCUUCGUGUGACCACGGGUGUCCAUUGCGUUAUCUCAUCUCGCAUUGCCCAGGUAGCGACCAGGGACAAGGUACCACCGUUUCCUGGCCCUCCACAGAGAUGGGAGUUGGAAAAGGGAUGGAUCCGAAUCCAAGAUUUCUUCCGCUUUCAGGCUCUGUCAUUUUUUUAGUUUGCCUGAUGUUUUCCAUGUGUUUCGCUGGAGCUGUCAGUAUUUGAAGAAGGCGUGGCACGUGGUCAUAAAUAAUCAUUAUCUCCCCCAGAACCUCCUAGUCUCAACAUUUCAAAUAAAUAGAUGUUAAUCUCCUAAAAC